rnacentral:lncRNA from 1 species
AAUGGAUCCAGAUAGGAGCGUGGAAAGAUGAAUUUAUGCAGGAUAGAUUAGAGGAAGGCUGGAUGCAUCCCCAGAACUCCCAGCCCAGUUCUGUGAGCAGACUUUACCAGCGGCGUGUGGACAUAGUCGGAGAGAGCCCUAAGGUGAGGUCUCCUUGCCAUCAUGAUUCCUCUUCUGGCUUAGAGUGAGCUCCAUGAGUCGGCAACACCGAAAUCAACCAUGAGUUUUUUCAAAACGCAGAAUCUUGGGCCUCGCCACGGAUUCCGAUUCCAAAUCUGGAUCUGUGUUUUAUCAACAAGCAGUUUGCCCGUUCAAGUUUGAGGAGCACUUGGU